rnacentral:rRNA from 1 species
UACAGAGGGGGCAAGCGUUGUUCGGAUUUACUGGGCGUAAAGGGCGCGUAGGCGGCCACCGCAAGUCGACUGUGAAAUCUCCGGGCUUAACCCGGAAAGGUCAGCCGAUACUGCGGGGCUAGAGUGCAGAAGGGGCAACUGGAAUUCUCGGUGUAGCGGUGAAAUGCGUAGAUAUCGAGAGGAACACUUGCGGCGAAGGCGGGUUGCUGGGCUGACACUGACGCUGAGGCGCGAAAGCUAGGGGAGCGAACGGG